rnacentral:lncRNA from 1 species
CUAAGAACCAAUAAGAAAAUGACAAGUUCACUUUGACGGGGGAGGAAGCCACUAUUCUUCCUCAUCUCUCCCCUCUUCUCUUCCUCCCUCUCUUCUCUCCCCUCAUUUUCAGAGAUAAAAGGUUUUCCCUGUUUGUCUUCGUUUUGUUAUGAUUUUCCUCCAACCAUCACAGGCGGCUGCGUCUCGGCGUCAGAUCUCCACAUGCGUUUCGGCAUCGGAUCUCCACCACAAUCCUUUUUGCGGUUUCUUUAUGUUCGGAAUAAGUCACAGAGACUCUUUGGUUGUCUGUGUAGUUUUCAGCUCUCCUUUUGUGAGAGCUUUUCACAUCUCAUUUGUGAGAGAUUUUCAUCUCUCUUUUGUGAGAGCUUUUCAUCUCUCCUUUGUGAGAGUUUUAUUUGUAUUGUUAUGGCUUGAUUUUUUCAAGUUUUAUCUCUGUUUGAUUAUUCUGAAUUUGCAAUCUUAGUUGGGAUGCCUAUGCUAGAGUUUCUUCGAUCUUGAGUGAUUGUUAGUGGAGGCGCACCAGAUUGUUUUAAUUUUGAUGUUAGACCGCUCCGUUAUUGUAAUGGUCCUUUAUAGCUAGU